GGGGGAUUAGCUCAGUUGGCUAGAGCACCAGCAUGGCAUGUUGGGGGUCAUCGGUUCGAGCCCGAUAUCCUCCA
rnacentral:tRNA from 2 species